GGGUUGUGAGGUUAAGCGACUAAGCGUACACGGUGGAUGCCCUGGCAGUCAGAGGCGAUGAAGGACGUGCUAAUCUGCGAAAAGCGUCGGUAAGGUGAUAUGAACCGUUACAGCCGGCGAUGUCCGAAUGGGGAAACCCAGUGUGAUUCGUCACACUAUCGUUAACUGAAUACAUAGGUUAACGAGGCGAACCGGGGGAACUGAAACAUCUAAGUACCCCGAGGAAAAGAAAUCAACCGAGAUUCCCCCAGUAGCGGCGAGCGAACGGGGAGCAGCCCAGAGUCUGAAUCAGCUUGUGUGUUAGUGGAACGGUCUGGAAAGUCCGACGGUACAGGGUGAUAGUCCCGUACACCAAAAUGCACAGGCUGUGAACUCGAAGAGUAGGGCGGGACACGUGGUAUCCUGUCUGAAUAUGGGGGGACCAUCCUCCAAGGCUAAAUACUCCUGACUGACCGAUAGUGAACCAGUACCGUGAGGGAAAGGCGAAAAGAACCCCGGCGAGGGGAGUGAAAAAGAACCUGAAACCGUGUACGUACAAGCAGUGGGAGCCUCUUAAUGGGGUGACUGCGUACCUUUUGUAUAAUGGGUCAGCGACUUAUAUUCUGUAGCAAGGUUAACCGAAUAGGGGAGCCGAAGGGAAACCGAGUCUUAACUGGGCGUUAAGUUGCAGGGUAUAGACCCGAAACCCGGUGAUCUAGCCAUGGGCAGGUUGAAGGUUGGGUAACACUAACUGGAGGACCGAACCGACUAAUGUUGAAAAAUUAGCGGAUGACUUGUGGCUGGGGGUGAAAGGCCAAUCAAACCGGGAGAUAGCUGGUUCUCCCCGAAAGCUAUUUAGGUAGCGCCUCGUGAAUUCAUCUCCGGGGGUAGAGCACUGUUUCGGCUAGGGGGCCAUCCCGGCUUACCAACCCGAUGCAAACUACGAAUACCGGAGAAUGUUAUCACGGGAGACACACGGCGGGUGCUAACGUCCGUCGUGAAGAGGGAAACAACCCAGACCGCCAGCUAAGGUCCCAAAGUCAUGGUUAAGUGGGAAACGAUGUGGGAAGGCACAGACAGCCAGGAUGUUGGCUUAGAAGCAGCCAUCAUUUAAAGAAAGCGUAAUAGCUCACUGGUCGAGUCGGCCUGCGCGGAAGAUGUAACGGGGCUAAACCAUGCACCGAAGCUGCGGCAGCGACACUAAGUGUUGUUGGGUAGGGGAGCGUUCUGUAAGCCUGCGAAGGUGUGCUGUGAGGCAUGCUGGAGGUAUCAGAAGUGCGAAUGCUGACAUAAGUAACGAUAAAGCGGGUGAAAAGCCCGCUCGCCGGAAGACCAAGGGUUCCUGUCCAACGUUAAUCGGGGCAGGGUGAGUCGACCCCUAAGGCGAGGCCGAAAGGCGUAGUCGAUGGGAAACAGGUUAAUAUUCCUGUACUUGGUGUUACUGCGAAGGGGGGACGGAGAAGGCUAUGUUAGCCGGGCGACGGUUGUCCCGGUUUAAGCAUGUAGGCUGGUUAUCCAGGCAAAUCCGGAUAAUCAAGGCUGAGGUGUGAUGACGAGUCACUACGGUGAUGAAGUAACAAAUGCCCUGCUUCCAGGAAAAGCCUCUAAGCAUCAGGUAACACGAAAUCGUACCCCAAACCGACACAGGUGGUCAGGUAGAGAAUACCAAGGCGCUUGAGAGAACUCGGGUGAAGGAACUAGGCAAAAUGGUGCCGUAACUUCGGGAGAAGGCACGCUGAUAUGUAGGUGAAGCCCCUGCGGGCGGAGCUGAAAUCAGUCGAAGAUACCAGCUGGCUGCAACUGUUUAUUAAAAACACAGCACUGUGCAAACACGAAAGUGGACGUAUACGGUGUGACGCCUGCCCGGUGCCGGAAGGUUAAUUGAUGGGGUUAUCCGUAAGGAGAAGCUCUUGAUCGAAGCCCCGGUAAACGGCGGCCGUAACUAUAACGGUCCUAAGGUAGCGAAAUUCCUUGUCGGGUAAGUUCCGACCUGCACGAAUGGCGUAAUGAUGGCCAGGCUGUCUCCACCCGAGACUCAGUGAAAUUGAACUCGCUGUGAAGAUGCAGUGUACCCGCGGCAAGACGGAAAGACCCCGUGAACCUUUACUAUAGCUUGACACUGAACAUUGAGCCUUGAUGUGUAGGAUAGGUGGGAGGCUUUGAAGCGUGGACGCCAGUCUGCGUGGAGCCAACCUUGAAAUACCACCCUUUAAUGUUUGAUGUUCUAACGUGGACCCGUAAUCCGGGUUGCGGACAGUGUCUGGUGGGUAGUUUGACUGGGGCGGUCUCCUCCCAAAGAGUAACGGAGGAGCACGAAGGUUGGCUAAUCCUGGUCGGACAUCAGGAGGUUAGUGCAAUGGCAUAAGCCAGCUUGACUGCGAGCGUGACGGCGCGAGCAGGUGCGAAAGCAGGUCAUAGUGAUCCGGUGGUUCUGAAUGGAAGGGCCAUCGCUCAACGGAUAAAAGGUACUCCGGGGAUAACAGGCUGAUACCGCCCAAGAGUUCAUAUCGACGGCGGUGUUUGGCACCUCGAUGUCGGCUCAUCACAUCCUGGGGCUGAAGUAGGUCCCAAGGGUAUGGCUGUUCGCCAUUUAAAGUGGUACGCGAGCUGGGUUUAGAACGUCGUGAGACAGUUCGGUCCCUAUCUGCCGUGGGCGCUGGAGAAUUGAGGGGGGCUGCUCCUAGUACGAGAGGACCGGAGUGGACGCAUCACUGGUGUUCGGGUUGUCAUGCCAAUGGCACUGCCCGGUAGCUACAUGCGGAAGAGAUAAGUGCUGAAAGCAUCUAAGCACGAAACUUGCCCCGAGAUGAGUUCUCCCCUGGACUUUAAGUCCACUAAAGGAACGUUGAAGACGACGACGUUGAUAGGCCGGGUGUGUAAGCGCAGCGAUGCGUUGAGCUAACCGGUACUAAUGAACCGUGAGGCUUAACCUUACAACGCCGAAG
rnacentral:rRNA from 1 species